rnacentral:rRNA from 1 species
CCUACGGGAGGCAGCAGUGGGGGAUAUUGCACAAUGGGGGAAACCCUGAUGCAGCGACGCCGCGUGAGUGAAGACGUAUUUCGGUAUGUAAAGCUCUAUCAGCAGGGAAGAAAAUGACAGUACCUGACCCAGAAGCCCCGGCUAACUACGUGCCAGCAGCCGCGGUAAUACGUAGGGCGCCAGCGUUAUCCGGAUUUACUGGGUGUAAAGGGAGCGUAGACGGUUAUGUAAGUCUGGAGUGAAAGCUCGGGGCCCAACCCCGGGACUGCUUUGGAAACUGUGUAACUGGAGUACAGGAGGGGCAGGCGGAAUUCGUGGUGUAGCGGUGAAAUGCGUAGAUAUCAGGAGGAACACCGGCGGCGAAGGCGGCCUGCUGGACUGAAACUGACGUUGAGGCUCGAAAGCGUGGGGAGCAAACAGGAUUAGAUACCCCUGUAGUC